rnacentral:SRP_RNA from 1 species
UCUGGGCGCAGUGGUGCACGCCUGUACUCCCAGCUACUCAGAAGGCUGAGGCGGGAGGAUCACUGGAGCCCCGGAGUUCUGGGGCUGUAGUGCACUAUGCCCAUAGGGUAUCCACUCUAAACUUGGCAUCAAUAUGGUGGCCUCCUGGGAGCAGGGCACCACCAGGUUGCCUGAAGGAGGGGUGAACUGGCCCAGGUAGGAAACAGAGCAGGUCAGAACUCUGGUGCUGAUCAACAGUAGGAUUGUGCCUGUAAAUAGCCACUGCACUGCAGCCUGGGCAACGGGAAACCCAGUGUCU